rnacentral:rRNA from 1 species
UACGUAGGGUGCGAGCGUUGUCCGGAAUUAUUGGGCGUAAAGAGCUCGUAGGUGGCUUGUCACGUCGGGUGUGAAAGCUUGGGGCUUAACCCCGGGUCUGCAUUCGAUACGGGCUAGCUAGAGUGUGGUAGGGGAGAUCGGAAUUCCUGGUGUAGCGGUGAAAUGCGCAGAUAUCAGGAGGAACACCGGUGGCGAAGGCGGAUCUCUGGGCCAUUACUGACGCUGAGGAGCGAAAGCGUGGGGAGCGAACAGG